rnacentral:lncRNA from 1 species
ACACCUGCUUUUCUGGAAAACCUGGAAGCCAUUGGCAGGGCUGUCUGGACCCCUCCUCCAGUCCUCCCAAGGCCUUGCCUGGACACAAGUGACAUCUACAUAGACAGCCACACUGGUGGAACACAAGGGGGAGGGGUGGGGAUUCGGUGUGGCCUCAGUUGUUCUCAAAUUACAUGAUAAAGUAGAUGUAGUGGAUCCUUUACACCAAAAGGAGUUGUGGAGUCCAGUUAUAAGAAUCCAUAACAUGUUAGCAGGACUCAUUGUAGCCUCCUCCUCAGAAGAGCCGAGGAACUCAGCCACACCCUUAAAGGCAAGGUGAUUGCACUACAGUUAGUUGACCUAUCUGGAAAAUUAAAGCUUCCCUGUGGUUUGAGGUUCUGCUCCUUUCUUUCUUUUUUUUUUUUUUUUUUUCUUUUUGGAAUUCUUACAAGUUUUUGUUUUUGUUUUGUUUUUUACCACCCUUGAGAUCCAGGUGAGGCUUUUGCUUGGAGUAGUUUGUGCAUCCUAUGGAGACAGGUUAUCAGGGUUGUGCUAACACUGUGCACUUCGGUCUGGGGUGGGGGGUUAGGUAGGUGUUGGGGUGCAGUGGGGGGAAAUUCUGCUUGAAGUCUGCAUGGGCCAAUGCCGAAUUCAGACUUGGCUGCCAAACCCAUCACGAGUCCGUGCUGUGCAAAGGGAGCAGACCCGAGGCAAGGAAUCCGAGCACUCAGAUGUGUUCGCACGCACUCCUCCCUUGCAAAGUUGUGCGGUUCGCCGGGAGGAGCUCCUUCCCUUUGGCUCUUCUGGCCCAGACGUCUGUGGAGUCCAUGUGCAGCCAAGGGCAUCACUGGCCAGAAGUGAAAUUCUGGAAGCACGUCCCAGGUAGGCAAGGCCUACGUCGGAUGCCUUUGAAAUUUUUUCUGCCCAGACACAUAUCCCUUCUUUUCUUUCUUUCUUUUUUUUUUCUUUUUUUUUUUUUUUUUUUUUUUUUGUGAGCUGUCAUAAAUGACAAUACAUCCUGUGGUUCAUGGUGCAUUUCAAAAGGGCCAACAUUUAUUUCAAAGUACAGAAAUCCUGUGAGGCUUUUUCCCCCUUUAAGUGACGAGCAUAUAGGCUUAUGUAUGUUUUUUUUUAUUUUAUUUAUUUAUUCAUGAGAGAGAGAGAGAGAGAGAGAGAGAGAGGCAGAGACACAGGCAGGCUCCACGCAGGGAGCCCGAUGCGGGACUCGAUCCAGGGUCUCCAGGAUCACGCCCUGGGCUGAAGGCGGCGCUAAACCGCCGAGCCUGGGGGGCUGCCCAGGCUUACGUAUCUGCGAUGCUGGUAUAAACCCAGAGACCCAACAAUGUGAGAGUUUUAUACAUGUUUUAAAUU